UACAGAGGUCCCAAGCGUUGUUCGGAUUCAUUGGGCGUAAAGGGUGCGUAGGCGGCGCGGUAAGUCGGGUGUGAAAUCUCGGGGCUUAACUCCGAAACUGCAUUCGAUACUGCCGUGCUUGAGGACUGGAGAGGAGACUGGAAUUUACGGUGUAGCGGUGAAAUGCGUAGAUAUCGUAAGGAAGACCAGUGGCGAAAGCGACCCCACUGGAUCUCUACUGACGCUGAGGCGUGAAAGCUAGGGGAGCAAACGGG
rnacentral:rRNA from 1 species